rfam:Dipodomys ordii contig_52641, whole genome shotgun sequence.
GUGAAGGUGGCUCAGUGGUAGAGUGCUUGCCUUGCAUACAAGAGGCCCUGGGUUCGAUUCCUCAUCACCACA